AGACCAGAAACUUGCAUUCUCUCAGCAAGAGUAUUUCCCAAUAAAGCUGUAGAACUUAUUCUGCCUAAAGAUCCAAGGUUGAAAUAUACCCCAACAAGUGUGAUAUUUAUGAAGAUACCAAGUAUAUCCAAGUAUCAGUGGCAUUCCUUCAGUAUAACUUCUAGUUCCAAUGUUGAUGAUGAAGUGAUGUCCGUUAUAAUAAAGUGUGAGGGAGGCUGGACAAGUUCUUUAUAUGACAUGAUACAAGCAGAUUUAGAUUCAAAUGCAGAUCAUAUGAGUUGCAUACAUGCAGCAAUUGAAGGCCCCG
rnacentral:misc_RNA from 1 species